GAUGUCACUUUUCCAGCCAGAAACCUCUGUGGCUGGGGAUGCCUUUGCCCGAGUUUUGCUCUGGCCCGCUGGGCUUGUUCUGCCUGCUCUUCCUGGCAGGCUGCACUCGGCUUGUGCUACUGGCCUGGAUCUCAUGCCUGCCAAGGACGAGGCAGGCAUGGAGUGGCGAGGGGUUUGUGAGUUCAGGGUCCUCCGGCCACUGUGCACAGCCAGGCAUGCCAACUGUGGUGGGGCAGGCAGCUCCAGGCACAGGCACUGGCUCCGUGCAAGGCUGUGGUUGGACCAGGCAUACUGCAGUUCGCUUCCACUGUGGGCACCGGGGAACACGGUGGCGCCCGGAAACUUGGAGACACCAGGAACUGCAGAGCCCCAAAGAGGAUGUCACAGCCCUGGCUUAGGGAGCCCCUAGGUCUGGGCUCCCUGAAGGGCUGCAGCUCUUCUCUCCUUCUCAUCGCCCACAAUGUAGUGAGCAGGGGAGGGGGAGGAUCACCCCUGUUUGUGUUACAGCUCUUUCAGUCUGGCCAUUCCUUGGGUCCCAAGUUCUUGUCCCACAUCCAAGAGGAAUGAGGUAUGCAGACAACUGGAGGGUGAGCAAGAUACAGGGGAACUUCAUUGAGCAACAGAACAGUUCUCAGGAGACCUGAAGUGAGUAGCCCUUUUCCGCAGGCAAGUCGACGUAAUGAGUGUCCAGCUCUCAGUGUAGAGGAGACCUGUAGUGCGUAGCUCCUUUCCACAGGCAGGUCAUCCUGACUAGUGGAGGAGACCCCCCAGGGGGUUGCUCCUUCCAACAGCUGGUAGUCCCCAUGUCUUUCUGAGUCUGGCUGAGUCCAGAGUUUUUCUGGGCUCAGAAGAGAGGAAGUGUGCUGAUUGGUCCAUGCGCAGCCAUGAGUGGGCCUGGAAAAAGCACUGUAAGUUUUCAUCCCCUGCUGCAGACUCAACCCAGAACUGGCAGCCCAGCGGCUCCCAGGCUUCAGGCUGUCCCUGGCUUGAAGGUGGGGUUUCACCAGGGACCUGUCCCUUCCCACCUAGGAACCUGUCUCCCGCAGCUGUCAACAUGUCAUCCACGGCGCCCAAGGUAUUUGCGCCAAGAGGUGCCUGCAGGCCCCUGUCGAGCUGCUCUCAGCCCCCUGGCCUCCCUCCUGUGCUUGUUGGCAUCCAAAGUCCAGAAGGGGCCGAGCCGGAGGUUGGGGGUACCAGGGGCUCUGGCAUGUCAGCACCACCCUGUGUGCAUGCAUACCCGGCCGUGUGGCAACAGUACCUGGGCUUGGCUACAGCUUUGCUCCACACUGGAUCAGGCGCCAGGAGCGUGGAGAGGCCAGGGAGCAGGAGCAGGCACUUCUUGAGCCUGCUGGCGGGGCAGUGGGCCUUCGCCGGCCCCCAAGAGCACAGGGAUGCCCUGGUCCAGAGCUGUGGCUGUGCAGCUGCAGCUGUGUCUGGGAGCAUGGGGCUCCUGCCCUGAUAACUCUGUAGAAGUUGGGGCUCCUGCCUGUUUCUGGCCCCCACAGGCACCAUGGAGUGCGCAGCCCUGGCCACACUUUGCCCUCUGCAGCUGGUGUCCUCACAGCGGCUGCUCCAGACUGGCUGCUGCUGCCAUCAUUGCCAGUGAUCCCAGCGAUUCUGGUGAUUGAAUCACAGAGCAUGUGGCACAACAGUUCUGGAUUUUCAGAACAUGAAGGGGGUGGUGACAGAGGUUGACUGGUAAUGCAAGGGUAAUUACAGUAGCAAGAACAACCAGGAGAGAGAAUUUGCUAAAAGAUAAAAUCAAAUUGAUAAAUCUGAUGCUGGUAUAAAUUUCUUCAAGAGCCUUUGCAGUAAUAACAGAUGAGGAAACCACCCUUCUUAUGUCUUUAUUAAGUAGUCAACAAAAUUACAGUGUUUUUGCUGGGAGAUGUGCCAACUAACUGCUGAUGGCUGAACUAUCAAACUCUGGUUAUUGGAGGCACAAAAAUAUGAUUCCAAGGAGUGUUAGGUAGAAAUUCUCAUUUUAGCUUAGUAAUAUAUGUUAAAGUAUUUGCUGAAAUGUUUUUUAUUACAUUUUGAAAUGUGUUUGAAGUGUGUUAAAUGCUUUUCAAAAACAAUACAUUUUUGGUUAUAAAACGUGAAUAAAAUUUCAAUAAAAUGUAUGAUUUUAUUUUAAAGUCUGUGGCUCAGUGAUAUUAAGUACAUUCACAUUGUUUUGCAACUGGCACCACCAUGCAUCUCCAGGGCUUUUUAAAAAAUCUUCCCAGACUGCAGCUGUGUACCUGUUAACAAUAACUCUCCAUUCUCCCCGGCUCCAGCCCCUGGCAGCCGUCAUUCUGCUUGCAGUUUCUAUGAAUUUAACUAGUCUAGGUGUCUCAUAUGAGUGGGAUCAUAUAGUAUCUGUCCCUUUGUGACUAGUUUAUUUCACUUAGCCUGAUGUCCUCAAGGUUCAUCCAUGUUGUAGCAUGUAUCAGAAUUUCCUUCCUGUCUAAGGCUGAAUAAUAUUCCGUUAUACACAUGGAUUGGCUACAUGUUAUUUACUCAUCCAUCCAUCCAUCCAUGGGCAUUGGGGUCACUUUGCCCCCUGCUGCUCUGAACAGGGGUGUACACAUAUCUGUUCGAGUCUCUAAUUUCAGUUCGUUUGGGUAUAUGCCCAGCUGUAGAAUUGCUGGGUCAUGUGGUAAUACUAUUUUUCAUUUGAGGGAAAAAUUUAUUUUAAUUUUUUGCUGGGAGUUGUGCCUGUUAACUGCUGGUGGCUGAACUAUUGAGUUCUGGUUAAUGAAGGCACAAAAAUACUAUUUUGAGGAGUGUUAGGUAGAAAUUUUCAUGUUAGCUUAGUAACACGUUAUGUUUCAAUAUUAUUUUACUUAAAGCACUAUUUUUCACAGUGCUUGUACCAUCUUGCAUUCCCACUAAUGAUGCACAAGGGUUUCAGUUUCUUGACAUCCUCACGAACACCACUACUUUUCUUUUUUGGAUGUAGCCACCCUAGUGAGUGUGAGGUGGCAUCUCCUUGUGAGUUUGAUUUGCAUCCUAAUGAUGAGUGAUGUUGAGUGUCUUUUCAUGUGCUUAUUGGCCUUUUGUAUAUCCUCUCUGGAGAAAUGCCCAGAUAAAUAUUUUUAAGAGUAAAAUUAGCUAAGUUAGGAAAAAUAUCACAUGAUACCUAGUAAGAAUGGUUUCUUGGACAUGAGUUCUCUCUCCACUGUUCUCUGUGGAGUCAUGCUCUUCUCCCAGUUCCUUUCUAGUUAGGCAAGCUAAGCUGGAAGCUUUUUUUGGAAUAGCGUCCUGACCAGCUGGUGCCCCCUUCUCUCCCAGGGGAUCAGACGUUGUGAGGGCCGCAGAUGGGCGUCCAGCCCUGGCCCACCUUUGAGAGCCGGGUUCUUGAGAUGCUGCCAUGGCUGGCUCCUUCUCACCUGCCGCCAUCACUCCCUGAGCACUGAGGUGCUGGGCCCUUUCUCAGGCAGACUUUGUUCUUAGAGGAUUUGUUCAUCGAAAUGUUUGUUGAUUGUGAUUGCAUGUGGUUCAGCCUUGGGGCAUCAGUUGUGGUUGGGGUGAGUUUUUCACGAAGAGAAGCCCCUUUGAUUUUCAGUUCUUGGGGGUCAACCUCAACAUACAGAGUAGGAGUCACAAGUUUUUUCUGCAAAGAAACUGAUAGUAAAUAUUUUAGACUUUUUUGGACCAUAAAGUUCCUGUUGCACCUUCUCAAUUCUGCUGUUGCAGCAGGAAAGUAGCCGCAGACAAUACAUAAAUGAAUGCUCGUGCCUGUACUGCAAUACUUUAUUUACAAAAUCAGGCAGCACACCGUAUUUUGGCCCAUGGACCACAGUGUGAUGACCUCUGAUGUAGGGUUUCACUUUUCACCAUCUCCAGUUUGACUAACCUCUGUGAUUUUACCAUAGGCAGAUAUCCAAGUGGAGCAGAACCGGCAACACUUCUAUGAACUGUCUCUCGAGUAUGUGUGUAAGCUGCAAGAAAUCCAAGAAAGAAAGAAGUUUGAGUUUGUGGAACCUGUGAGCAUUAUUGCCAAGUUGUUUGCUGGUGGAUUUUUGCAAUAUAAGAUAAAUAUUUAUCUUCCUAGAUCUGAUUUAUGGUUUAUAGUUACUAGAGGCCAUAGUGCAUAAACAUGAAAGAGACAUGUUUAAAAGGGCAGACACAGAUAGCCAUGAAGUCAAGGAAUUGCCUCUAAAUCAGUGGUUCUCAGCUGUAUUUGCACUGUAACACGUAGUAUUCCCAUUGCUACAUGAUCUCAAGGAAGGCAACCAGGUGCAAUUUCUGCCACCUUAGCCUAUAGCUCUAUCUUUUAAAAAUUUCUCUGAAAUAAUUUAUACUAGAUUGAGUGAACAUGGGUUGUUUAUACCAGUUCAAACUUUGGUACUUUAAACAAUCAUUUGUAAGAUGACUUCGAACACAACUCACAAUGCUUAUGGCAAUCUAAGUUUAGAAGCAGGAUAUGGAACAUUUGAGACAGUUUUGUGAGUUACUCUAACAAUUCUUUUUACUUAUAUUAGAAACACAUGAUUUUUGUUUGUGAUUAUAUAGAUGUUUUCUAGUAGCUUCAGUUGUUUAUAUAUGAAGAUAUAUGCACAUGAAUGUAUAUAUCAUAAUGUAAAGGAUAUUUCAUGUGGAUUUCAGCAAAAAAACAUUGGAACUCAUUCUCAGGAUUCAUUUUAAUUUUAAUAUCGACUUGUUGAAUGGUUUCUUUUUCUUAAACAGCUUUAUUAAGAUAACAUUCGCACACUAUACAAUUUACUCAUUGUGUGUAUGGUUUAUGGAAACAAGAAUAACCAAGUAAUGAUUAAAAAUGAGCAUUUGUGGAGCUAUGGUUUAGUUGGAGCGAUAGUCAUUAACCUAAACCAUUAGAGAAAAACUCAACCUCCUCAAAGCUUUCUUUUUAAUGUGAAAUAAUAAUAAUGGCCUGCUUUUAUUGGGCAUUUAUAAUGCUCAGUCUCUGUUCAAGUCAUUGUUCUAAGUGUUGUACCGAACUCAUUAUUCCACACUAUAACUCAAUGAGGAGAUAAGGAAAUAGAAGUAGAGAAAGGUUGAAUAAUUUGCCCAAGGUCCCAUAACAAGUCAUGGCUGACGUUGGGAAUGAAGCCUGCUGGGCAUUUGGUGUCAGAGCCCCAGAUUCCUAACCACCCACAGUGUGGCAUUUGGAAGAAAAUGAAUCUCAAGAUUUCCUUAACUCUCUCCCCAGAUCACUUCUCUUCACUUUAGAUUUAUUGACUCACAUGUGGAGCAGAGGCAACAGCCCUCUAAUUCAGAGACAGGUUGGGAGUUGGUAGAAAACUAAAGGUUUAAUUACGGGUUUGAGGCUGCCCCUGGCAAGUCAGGGAAUAUCUUUGUCAACAAAACACAGGGAUUGCAGUCUGCUGGAUGUGGCUGGGGAGAGCCUGGAGCUCUUUGAUUCUGUGAUUUUACUUUCUUAAAAGAUUGUAUCAACCUAUAGUGAUAAGAUUUCAAUUACAAGUACUGGGUUUCUCCUGACUAAAGAGGGCAAAUGGAUGACUUUAUAAUUCAAUUUUUCCUGCAGAACAUGCCGUAUAAGCUGUCUAAUGGCUGUGAUAUUUAAGGGAAAAAAAGCAUCAUUUUCUAUAAAGACCAAUUAAUAGAUAAUAUGUACUUGGGUUUACUUGAAUAUUAGUGACUUCCCUUUAAUCAGUUUAUUUCAGUGGAAUAACAAGGAGAUGGCGGGGGGAACACUUGGUUGUUUAUAUUAUUCUUUUUUUCUCCUGAGUUGUUUUGUGCUAAUAUCUCUUUUCUUCCUGUGUCUUAGAUGCUGUCAUUUUUUCAGGGGAUGUUUACCUUCUAUCAUCAGGGCCAUGAACUUGCCAAAGACUUCAAUCACUACAAAAUGGAACUACAGAUCAACAUUCAGAAUACACGGAAUCGAUUUGAAGGAACAAGGUCAGAAGUGGAAGAGCUUAUGAACAAAAUCAGACAGAAUCCCAAGGACCACAAACGAGCAAGUCAGUUUACAGCCGAAGGCUACCUGUAUGUCCAGGAAAAAAGGCCUGCUCCGUUUGGUUCCAAUUGGGUCAAACACUAUUGCAUGUAUCGAAAAGCAGCGAAGAAGUUCAACAUGAUCCCAUUUGAGCACAGAUCUGGAGGGAAACUUGGGGAUGGAGAGGUGUUCUUUUUGAAAGAAUGUACCAAGAGGCAUACUGACUCCAUUGACAGAAGGUUUUGUUUUGACAUAGAAGCUGCUGAUCGGCCUGGCGUUUCCUUGACCAUGCAGGCAUUUUCCGAAGAGGAAAGGAAGCAGUGGUUGGAAGCUCUGGGUGGAAAGGAAGCUCUGUCCCAUAGUUUUAAUACAGCCAUCAUCCCAAGACCAGAAGGAAAUGCACAGUUGGAUAAGAUGGGGUUCACAAUUAUCAGAAAAUGCAUCAGUGCCGUUGAAACACGAGGUAUAAAUGACCAAGGAUUGUACAGAGUUGUGGGGGUGAGUUCAAAGGUCCAGAGACUUCUGAGUAUGUUAAUGGAUGUAAAAACAUGCAAUGAGGUGGACCUGGAGAAUUCUGCAGAUUGGGAAGUGAAGACAAUAACAAGUGCCAUGAAACAGUAUUUGAGGAGUCUUCCAGAGCCUCUCAUGACCUAUGAGUUACACGGAGAUUUCAUUGUUCCAGCCAAAAGUGGCAGCCCAGAAUCUCGUGUUAAUGCGAUCCAUUUCUUGGUACACAAACUGCCAGAGAAGAAUAAAGAGAUGUUGGAUAUUUUGGUGAAACACUUAACAAAUGUUUCAAAUCACUCCAAGCAGAACCUGAUGACCGUGGCAAACUUAGGAGUGGUGUUUGGACCAACUCUGAUGAGGCCACAGGAAGAAACUGUCGCUGCCCUCAUGGACUUGAAGUUUCAGAAUAUUGUUGUGGAAAUCUUAAUUGAAAACCAUGAAAAGAUUUUUCGGACGCCGCCCGAUACUACAUUCCCUGAGCCCACCUGCCUGUCAGCAUCACCCCCAAAUGCGCCACCAAGGCAGUCGAAGAGACAAGGCCAGAGAACCAAGAGGCCCGUGGCCGUCUACAAUCUUUGUCUAGAGCUGGAAGAUGGUGACAAUCCUUACCCUUCCAAGGAGGACACCCCUACCAGCAGUCUGGACUCACUUUCCUCCCCGUCUCCCGUGACUACAGCUGUCCCUGGGCCUCCUGGACCAGACAAAAACCACCUUCUGGCAGAUGGAGGGAGCUUUGGAGACUGGGCAUCCACUAUCCCAGGCCAGACCCGAUCGUCUGUGGUCCAGUGGCUUAAUCCACAGUCUCCAACCACAACAAGCUCCAACACAGCUGUGACACCUCUUUCACCCGGGUCGUCCCCUUUCCCCUUUUCUCCUCCUGCUACUGUAGCGGACAAGCCACCUGAAAGCAUUAGCAGUCGGAAGGCUCGAGCCGUAUAUCCGUGUGAAGCAGAACACAGCUCGGAAUUAUCUUUUGAAAUAGGAGCAAUUUUUGAGGAUGUACAAACCUCCAGGGAACCUGGCUGGCUAGAAGGGACUCUGAAUGGCAAGAGGGGGCUGAUUCCACAGAACUACGUCAAGCUGCUGUAGCUCCUGGCCUCAGAGCCCCUGCUGACCCUGGCACCCAGGGACCUGCCUGGGGGCAGAAAGCUGUCUUCCUCCUCCGAGGCUCUGGGCUGCACCCACAGGUACCUCCACACUUGGGAGUUACCAUCAUCACAAUCAGCCUUGGCGGGCAGGGGGUGGCGGGCAGGGAUGGGACGCACCACACAGAACUGUGAUUGUGGAUCAGGAGGGGAAUGUCAGGAUUCGCAAAAUGGACUUUUCAUUUGUCAAGUAUCGGGACUUGUGAUUUUUAAUUAUCCAGCAUAUAGAAUGAGAGGGAGGGCAGCCUUCUGCCACCUCUGUCGCCUCCACUGGCAGUCACACCACCAGAGCCACCCUGGCUCCCUCUCCUCCCUGAGCACCUGCUGCUGCGAUUUUAAAGGGAACUGUACUAUUCGCAGUGAUAGGUUUGCAGAGUGCGUGCUUGGCUGUGGCAGCCUAGCUUGGAGAGGCUGCUGCUGGUGCAGGGGAGAUGGUCUCAAGCCAGAGGGAAGCAGAGAUGUGCUUCUCAAGCCUGCCCUUCCUAGACGGCCACCUGCAGGACCCCACACUCACUGCACUGGCAGCGUGCACUGGCGUAUUUGUAACAGGCUUCUUGGUGCUCCUCACCCGUGUGCUGUUUUCCAAACACCACCUUUUUGCCUCAAGGUCUCUGUAAAUGAAAUAAACUGUAAUUUACUA
rnacentral:sRNA from 1 species